ACUGUCACUUUCAUGAUCUGGUAAGCGACGCUUUGAUUGGUCGGAUGAAAGGUCGCUCUGAUGUGACCCUUAAUGGGAUGUCCUCAGAUCUUUGUUUAGCAAUAGAUCUGAUUUUAAUGAAAUUGCCAUAGUGCAGGACAGGGUGAAUAACAUAACUGCAGCAGUGUCGUGGUAUUUUCUUUGUAUAUUCGGAACACUGAAAUCAUGUAUGCAGGUUUGAAUGCUUCCCUCACUCGUAUCUAGGAUUUCGAAGCCAUGAUGCUGAUUGGCUGACUAGAAAGUGCAUGUGAAGCAAUCUACUACAGAGUGGUUGUCAGAUGUUCAUGGAGAGAGAUUUCAUAUCAGUGUAAAUGAUCUGCUUUUUCUGAGAGUGUGUUUUUAUCCACCUGUCUUGUUGUAGGGGCAGAAAUAGUGGUCUAAACUUCAUGUGUGGUCCUGUACAUCAUUAUUCAUGGAUGUGGGAACUACAGGUUAGAAUAUAGUCCUCAGAAAUCUAUGCUGGUUAGAUGUGGCGACUUAAUGGAUCUGGUGGUGGGACUCGGCGACUUGGUUGAAGCGUCUCUUCAUACAUGGGUUGUUGCUCAUGCUAUCAAUCAUGACUUGAUUGUUUACAGGCCGCCAUCAUGUAGCUGGAAUAUUGCUGAGCAUGGCAUGGCGUCAAACAACAUGGGUGGUCCCUUACCAUGCUUACAUCAUUAGUCUGUUGUGAACUUGUGCUAGCACCAUACUCUCACGUGGCUUGGCUUUGUUCAGACAGUUGGUACCACUAAAAAUAGGAACAUUCUUUCAGUGAUGAAAUUAUGACUGAAUUGUGUUGUUGAAAGUUUUGUUGAUUAGUAUUUUAUGCACAAAUAUUAUCACAUUAUUAUACCCCUGACCUAAAAGACCCGUCCAUCCGUCCGUUUUUCCAAGGACAUUUUUGCGUGCGACCUAUAACUUGAAAACUACUGCGUAGAUUCUUUUCAAACUUGGUAAACACUUUCUAUACCAAUAGGAGGGGUGGAGUGCAAACUUUGAUUUCAAUAUUUCAGUGUUAUUUCUGACAAAAUGGAGCUAUUUUUAUUCUUUUUUUUUACUUAAACAUUUGUGCGACCUAUAACUGGAAAAUUACUGUGUGGAUAUUUUUUUAAUUUAUCAAAGUUUCCAUACUAAUAGAAGAGGUGCAAUGCAGAGUUUGAUUUUAAUAUGUGGAUUUUCUUAGAGAAUAUGAUUUGUUUUGUGUUUUGAACAUAGAAUAUUGUGAUUUUCUUUAACAUUUGUGCAACCUUUAACUUGAUGGACUCUUUUCAAAUAGGGGGUGUUGUUUCUGUACCAACAGGAGAGGUGCAUCUCAAAGUCUGAUUUCGAUAGUGGGUUUCCUGUGAAAAGAUUGCUUUUUUCAUGUUUUGAAUAUGUUAGAGUCGAGUAGGGGUAUCAGUGAGCAUUGCUCACUUUUAGCCUUGUUAAUUAGCCUUAUUAAUCAGUGGAGCUUGUUCUAUGGCAUCCAUCAUCAAUACUGUCAUCACAAAUUUAUUGUUUCUCCAUGAUUGAGACCAAUUUCAACUUGGGUUGGGUUAAGUAUAAGAGCACAGGCUACAACACACCCUGCAGUUAGUCAAACAUUAAUACAAACAUGGACGUGAACAUCAUCUGGGUAUAUUGGCCACAUGUGGAUAGAAAGUGGCCAGUUUUCCUUUUUAUCUCACCUGACUGAAAAUCAAGGGGGCUGAUAUCGUGGCCUACAUGUCUGUCAUCAGUUGUAAACAUCUUCUAAAAAACACAAUGGACACUUGAAACUGAAGUUUGUUUUGACCAAUGUUGACACCACAAUAUGUUCAAGAUGUCCAUUUUUCAAUACAGCCACCAUGGUAGUAUAUUUUGAUCUGUAUAUUUCAUUAACUCCUCAGAAAUGGCCAGAUAAUGCCUUCAUUUUCCGGUGUCAUGAUAAAUACCCUGGACCCAUUCGGCACCAAAGCUUUGUGUUGACACCUGUUGAACUGACUCAGUCCCGUGAGAUUCCGGGGUAAAAUAGGUCUUCAGCAACCCGUGCUUGCCGUAAAAGGCAACUAUGCUUGUCAUAUGAGGCGACUAACGAGAUCCGGUGGUCAGGCUCGCUGACUUAGUUGAUGCAUGUCAUCGUAUCCCAAUUGCGUGGAUCGACGCUCAUGAUGUCAAUCACUUGAUUGUCUGGUCCAGACUCGAUUAUUUACUGACUGCCGACCUCUCAUUAAGAAGAGUCAAUUUGAUUGGUUUUUGAGUUCAAGCUCAUCAGCAACAUUAGUAAUGUGGGAGAUGGAGAUUGUGAGGUCACUUCCGAAACCAAACUUUGGUGGCAUAUGGGGUAUGUCUAUCAGAAUGAAAUGGAUAUGUAUUACUAGGGAUUGGUAAUAGAGGUUUAAAGUAUCACAAUAUUUUGCAAUGCACAAGGCCGUAUUGCGAUACGAACCACGAUAUCUUGGAUAAUUCUAUAUUUUUAAUUCAGAAGCAAUCUUAUACAUUACGGAGUGAUCUGAAGUUUAUAAAUGGAACAAAAUAAGAUGCUGGUACAACAUAAUGUUUUCUCAUACAAUAAAUACGCAGCCAUCUAGGGGCCCCAGAUGCUCGCUCCUGGGCAGCCAAGGCAUUUGGCAAGUAUAUAACAUUAAACACAUGACAAAAAUCCAAAUUGGAAAUCACCCGAUAUAUCAAGCAUGAAAAAGUAUAUUAUGAUAUGUAUCGUGGAAAGAAUGAACCUCAAUUUACCGAUAUACUAGUAAUACCUCCCAUCCUGUAUUACUACACUGGAUAAUGGGGGAUGGGUCACACUGAGUAAAUGGAACUUUGGCAUGUAUGUGUCUUCUUUUAAUGACAUCGUGUUUUGUUCAGAUCAUUAGAAUGUCAGUGUUAGUUGUUGGUCCUUGGUGUUUAUGCACGAACUAUCAAUGCUGACAUCAACUUUGUUAAGUGGCUUUGUUGACAUAUAAACUGUUGAGUACAUAUCCAGGUGAACUACAGUGCAGUGACACUAUGUUUUUAUAAUAUAUUGUGUGUGCAAUGGGAAAGUGUCACUUUCAAUCAGAUGCGGUUACUAUGUUAUGUUUAGCUUUGAUUUCUUAUUAAAUCUGUAAGUGCUUCUGUUUUGCUUGAGUUGGUGUUGACCAUCUGGUAUUUACACAUUGUAGAUGCCUUGGGUUGCAGGUCUGAGGCUUGCAUGUCUUUAGCUCACGGCUCCUUGGUAUGCAUAGUACCUAUUGCUCUUGCUAAUAUGUUCUCAUAUUGAGGAUGAAUGACAACAACACAAUUUCUACUGAACUUUUACCAAGGAUUGAUAUGAAUUAAUGCUUUAUGUUCAUCAGCCUUGUAAUUUGACCAGAUGCCUAUGAAGCGAUGCUGAUGUUGCCCAGUUAGUAUCUGCUGUAAGGAAAAAACACAGUAGUGAAAACAGUUAACUUGUGAAUACACUGAAAGUAAUAUGACUCAAAAUGGUGUGAAAAGUAGCUUCUUGUGCACUUAUUACUAGCUAUCAAUACAUGAAAAUGAGCCAAUAGCUUUGCCAGAACGUAACUGAAAGUUGGGCCAAAACUCUGUACCUACAAAUAUGCAAAAAUGUGAAAAGAGUAGGAAUAUGGAAGUACCCUUCUCCACCUUCCCUUCCCCAUCCUAGUCCUUCUUUUGUUUGUUGUGUAACGCACACUCAGCAAUAUUCCAGCUUUAUAGACCUCCAGUGACGUCAUAUUGUUUUUUACACGUUUUUCUCCUUUGAGCAAGUAUUUGGACUUGAUCAACAUGACUUUGAAUAUACAAAGGGAGGUAAGACCUGCUUUGAGGUUUUACUUCUUUCAAGACAGACCUAAGGGUUUUACUUUGAAUCAUAACGAUGACCUGCUUUGAGGUUUUACUUCUUUCAAGACAGACCUAAGGGUUUUACUUUGAAUCAUAACGAUGACCUGCUUUGAGGUUUUACUUCUUUCAAGACAGACCUAAGGGUUUUACUUUGAAUCAUAACGAUGACCUGCUUUGAGGUUUUACUUCUUUCCAGACAGACCUAAGGGUUUUACUUUGAAUCAUAACGAUGACUUGCUUUGAGGUUUUACUCCUUUCAAGACAGACCUAAGGGUUUUACUUUGAAUCAUUACGAUGACCUGCUUUGAGGUUUUACUCCUUUCAAGACAGACCUAAGGGUUUUACUUUGAAUCAUUACGAUGACCUGCUUUGAGGUUUUACUUCUUUCAAGACAGACCUAAGGGUUUUACAUUGAAUCAACAAUGACCUGCUUUGAGGUUUUACUUCUUCAAGACAGACCUAAGGGUUUUACUUUGAAUCAUUACGAUGACCUGCUUUGAGGUUUUACUUCUUUCAAGACGGACCUAAGGGUUUUACUUUGAAUCAUUACGAUGACCUGCUUUGAGGUUUUACUCCUUUCAAGACAGACCUAAGGGUUUUACUUUGAAUCAUUACGAUGACCUGCUUUGAGGUUUUACUUCUUUCAAGACAGACCUAAGGGUUUUACAUUGAAUCAUAACGAUGACCUGCUUUGAGGUUUUACUUCUUCAAGACAGACCUAAGGGUUUUACUUUGAAUCAUUACGAUGACCUGCUUUGAGGUUUUACUUCUUUCAAGACGGACCUAAGGGUUUUACAUUGAAUCAUAACGAUGACCUGCUUUGAGGUUUAACUUCUUCAAGACAGACCUAAGGGUUUUACUUUGAAUCAUUACAAUGACCUGCUUUGAGGUUUUACUUCUCUCAAGACAGACCUAAGGGUUUUACUUUGAAUCAUUACGAUGACCUGCUUUGAGGUUUUACUUUCGAACAAUAUUAAUUAAAUUGUAUCUAAUGUUGAUUUUAGACUGGUAACAAGUCAAAGACCUAUUUCACCCCCCAUUGAACCUGCAACCACACAUAUUGUGUUUAGUAUUGUAACCCACUGUUUUCCCACUGAGCCACCGAGGCAAAUGAUGAGGGAAAGGUUCACUGAGCACAUAGAUUGUGACAGUGUUUGUCACCCACUGAGUCACUUGCAGUGUCGUUGCUGCACGUGCUUGGAUAUCGAUGAGCAUUAAACCAGUCCAUUUUAAACAGGGGUAUAGGUAUCAAAUAAACACAACCUGUUUGAUUGAUGUGUGUAUCAAUCAAACAAGAUGUUGGUUAAUGAGUCUACCUUGAAUUCGGGCUUGUGAGAGUAGUAAGAUUUUUAGGGAAUAGGUAAAAAUAGGUCUUGUGAGAGGAUAAAAACUUUUGGUUGAUACGUAAAAAUAGGUCUGUUGGCCCUCGGUCUUACUUUUAUUUACCUAUCCCCCUAAGGUCUAAGUACCCCCAUCGAGACCUCAUUCUCGGUCGUGAACCUUGACAUAUGACUUAGGCCUUAUAGCUGGAAUGCAGCAUUAAUCAACAAACAAAAGAAGCACAAGGUUUGGUCCAAUUUGCAGUCAAAGCCAAGUCCUUCUAAUAGGUUGUGGCAGCUGAGGCACUUUCAUCCAGCCUUGCAACUACUGACUUCAUUGUUGAAAUCCUGACACUUACAUUCAGCAAGGCCAAUAAUCCAUGCACUUUUCUUUGUGAAAGUUUCACAUUUCUAUGUAUUCCUUGUAAAUGUUGAGUUGUUUGCUUGAUCAGACAUAUGGCAUGAAAUGCACAGAAUCUUUUUUACAAGAUUCAAACUUUGAGAAAGUAUUGGCGGCUUCUGUAUGUACAAUAUAAAAUGGAUCAGAUGAAAAUAGCUAUUUUGUACUAAACACAAAAAUAGGUCAUCAUGAUGUGUAUAAAAUAAGAUGGAUAAUUUCUUGCAGCAGUGUGGUAUGUUUUAUACAGUAUCUAGUAUUCCUAUUGUUUUUGGGAAGAGGCAUCUCCCACUCUUGGAGCUUCUACUUUCAGUGUUGGUUUCAACUACAGGUACAUGGUGAUAAUGUAAAUGUGUAUACAUACUGGCCCAGGGAGCUAUAUAUUUCUAAUCACAAAUCUCUUAACAUUAUGGUCUAACUGAUGAUAAUUUUGCAUAAUACUCAGUGAAUAAAGAAUUCUCUACA
rnacentral:lncRNA from 1 species